rnacentral:rRNA from 1 species
GGCAGACGGGUGAGUAAUACGUGGGCAAUUUGCCUUUGAGAAGGGGACAACCUUGGGAAACCAGGGCUAAUACCGCAUGAGACCACGGCCUGGCAUCAGGCAGGGGUCAAAGCUCCGCAAGGGGCGCUCGAAGAGAAGCCCACGGCCUAUCAGCUAGUUGGCGGGGUAACGGCCCACCAAGGCUACGACGGGUAAGCGGUCUGAAAGGACGAUCGCUCACAAUGGCACUGAGACACGGGCCAUACUCCUACGGGAGGCAGCAGUGGGGAAUUUUGCGCAAUGGGGGAAACCCUGACGCAGCGAUGCCGCGUGGAGGACGAAGGUCUUCGGAUUGUAAACUCCUUUUGCGGGGGAAAAAUGUCGGCGUGAAUAACGCCGAAUGAUGGUACUCCGCGAAUAAGCCACGGCUAACUUCGUGCCAGCAGCCGCGGUAAGACGAAGGUGGCAAGCGUUACUCGGAAUUACUAGGCGUAAAGCGCGAGCAGGCGGUUCGGUAAGUCUGUCGUGAAAGCCCCGGGCUCAACCCGGGGAGGUCGAUGGAUACUGCCGGACUUGAAUACGGGAGAGGUCGCUGGAAUUCCUGGUGUAGCGGUGAAAUGCGUAGAUAUCAGGAGGAACACCGAAGGCGAAAGCAGGCGACUGGACCGUUAUUGACGCUGAUUCGCGAAAGCCGGGGGAGCAAACAGGAUUAGAUACCCUGGUAGUCC